UGGCGAAUUUUGGACAAUGGGGGAAACCCUGAUCCAGCCAUCCCGCGUGUGCGAUGAAGGCCUUCGGGUUGUAAAGCACUUUUGGCAGGAAAGAAACGUCAUGGGUUAAUACCCCGUGAAACUGACGGUACCUGCAGAAUAAGCACCGGCUAACUACGUGCCAGCAGCCGCGGUAAUACGUAGGGUGCAAGCGUUAAUCGGAAUUACUGGGCGUAAAGCGUGCGCAGGCGGUUCGGAAAGAAAGAUGUGAAAUCCCAGAGCUCAACUUUGGAACUGCAUUUUUAACUACCGGGCUAGAGUGUGUCAGAGGGAGGUGGAAUUCCGCGUGUAGCAGUGAAAUGCGUAGAUAUGCGGAGGAACACCGAUGGCGAAGGCAGCCUCCUGGGAUAACACUGACGCUCAUGCACGAAAGCGUGGGGAGCAAACAGG
rnacentral:rRNA from 1 species